AUUGAACGCUGGCGGCAGGCCUAACACAUGCAAGUCGAACGAGUGGCGGACGGGGGAGUAAUGUCUGGGAAACUGCCCGAUGGAGGGGGAUAAAUCCUGGAAACGGUAGCUAAUACCGCAUACCAUCGGAUGUGCCCAGAUGGGAUUAGCUUGUAGGGGAGGUAACGGCUCACCUAGGCGACGAUCCCUAGCGGGAGGGAGAGGAUGACCAGCGAGACGGGCAUUGGGACACGGUCGAGACUCCUACGGGAGGCAGAAGUGGGGAAUAUUGCACAAUGGGCGCAAGCCUGAUACAUCCAUGCCGCGUGUAUGAAGAAGGCCUUCGGGUUGUAAAGUACUUUCAGCGGGGAGGCGUUACCCGCAGAAGAAGCACCGGCUAACUCCGUGCCAGCAGCCGCGGUAAUUC
rnacentral:rRNA from 1 species